UCUCUCUCUCUCUCUCUCUCUCAACACACACAGAUCGCAGCACAUUCUUUUCCCGCUAGGCUUGCAAAGCUGCCCCUGCCUUACCAAGGGGAUUCCUCCACAAGGCCGAAUUAAUAAUUGAUUCCUCGGCUCCAGCCCUCACUUAGGCUGGCAUUGAUUUCCUGGUGCUGCAUUUCCUGGCCCUCGCCGGAGCCUCCCCUCUCUCUAAUCCCCUUCUAACUCUGGACCGAGGCGUUUCCCCGUCCCGGGCUCUCUCUCUCUGCCGCGGAACCUGCGAGGAGGGACGCGGGGAGUCUCCUCGCCACUCUCAAGGGCACGAAGAGGACCUUCCUGAGAAGCCGGGCCCGGGGUUGUCUGUCGGCGAAGGCGAGAUGCAGAGCCCUGCCUUGCUCAGGUGGCCUUCCGCGCGGCAGCCCUGCAGACAGAGGCCUGGCCUCCUUCCUCCUCCUCCUCCUCCUCCUCGCGCCGCCGCCGCAACUGGGACCCGCUCAUCCCUCUUUCCUUUUCCCUGCGGAGCCGCCUUGGCUGCUGGAAAGAAAGUGUCCGGCUCCCUUCCGCGACUCCUUGCCUCUCAGCGCAUCCCUCCUCCUCGGCGGCUGCUGCAUCUUCGACUUCGCCUUGUUGAAGUGCCUCGUCACAUUAGAACAUGAAUCCACUUCAAAUCCGGUUUCUGCCUCCUGCAGAAUUCUGGGGUUUGUAGUUUGGAGGACCAGUUUAAAGGCCCCUCCCUAAAGUGGAUUUAAAGUGGAUCCAUGAGGUCCAAUUUGAGAGGCUCUCACCUUGUCUCUUCCCACAGAGAAACACAGCCGCCACCUCCUCCUCCUUUCCUCUUCAAAGGCCAGGCCGCCUUCAUUCCUCUUCUUCCUUCCUCCUCUUCCUUCCUUCCUGCUCUUCCUUCCUCCUCUUCCCCUUCCUUCCUUCCUUCCUUCCUUCCUUCCUUCCUUCCUUCCUUCCUUCCUUCCUUCCUUCCUUCCUUCCUUCCUUGAUUUGGGAUGAAGCUCCUCUCCGAAUGAAGAAAACAAACACACACUUCGAAGACUCCCUCCUCCCUCCCUCCCGGCGCGCGCCCCCGCCCUCCCUCCCUCAUCCCCCUCCUGGCGCGCGCGCGCGCGCGCUUGACAAAAAGCGGGGACCUCUCGGCGGCUCGGCGAUUGAAGAGGGGAGGAAAGGGAAAAGGGAAACUAAACCCGAGGCGAAGGAAAAGAGCCGAAGCCGCUGAAAGGCUGCAGCAACAGCCCCGACGCCUCCGCCUCGGUAGAGCCCGAAGUCACCGGCUACGGAGUGAAGUGAAGUCAGCGGAGUUGCUCUUCUGGUCUCCUCCCUCCGCGUGUGAACACUGACAGGCACUCAUCCGCUUGGCCGUCUCCAAGGACACCGGAGCGGAGCGCGCGAGAGAGUUUCUCCGCCCGGGGAAGGACCAGGAGGGGAUAUGGGGCGGUGACUUGCGCCUACCUCCUCUCCUCCGGGCGUGGACUCGGGGCCUUCACUUGCCUGACGAAUCCUUCCUUCCGUCUUUCCUUCCGACGCCGGGAGAGAACCGCUUCGUUUCCUUCCAGCCGCGCAAAGCGAGACGCACCAAGCAUGGGCAGCCCCGGGCGGCCGUGGACGGGCUUCCUGGCCCUGGAAAGAAGCCUCCUCCUCCUCCUCUUGCUCUUCCUCGGGGCGGCCCACAGCCUCCGCCGGGCGGACGGGGCGGGCGCCGAGCAGCAGAUCCCCUUGUCCGUUGUCAAACUCUGGGCCUCUGCUUUUGGCGGGGAGAUCCGGUCCAUCGCGGCGAAAUACUCCGGCUCCCAACUUCUGCAGAAGAAAUAUAAAGAAUACGAGAAGGAUGUUACCAUAGAAGAAAUUGAUGGCCUUCAGCUUGUGAAGAAGCUAGCGAAAAUUAUGGAGGAGAUGUUCCAUAAAAAAUCUGAAGCUGUGCGGCGCCUUGUUGAAGCUGCAGAAGAGGCUCAUUUGAAACAUGAAUUUGAUGCCGAUUUACAGUAUGAAUAUUUCAACGCUGUUCUUAUUAAUGAACGAGAUGAAGAUGGGAACUUCUUAGAACUGGGAAAAGAAUUCAUUCUGGAGCCAAACGACCAUUUUAAUAAUUUGCCUGUGAAUGUCACUCUGAGUGAUGUCCAAGUGCCAACCAACAUGUACAACAAAGAUCCUGCUAUUGUGAAUGGAGUCUAUUGGUCAGAAUCAUUAAACAAAGUGUUUGUUGACAAUUUUGACCAUGACCCUUCCCUUAUAUGGCAAUAUUUUGGAAGUGCAAAGGGCUUUUUUAGGCAAUAUCCAGGAAUAAAAUGGGAGCCAGAUGAAAAUGGAGUCAUUGCAUUUGACUGCAGAAAUCGAAAGUGGUACAUUCAGGCAGCCACUUCUCCCAAAGAUGUUGUUAUUUUAGUCGAUGUCAGUGGGAGCAUGAAAGGACUCCGCCUGACAAUUGCAAAGCAGACCGUGUCAUCCAUUUUGGACACUCUUGGGGAUGAUGAUUUUUUUAACAUAAUAGCUUAUAAUGAAGAACUCCACUAUGUGGAACCAUGCCUGAAUGGAACUUUAGUUCAAGCAGACAGAGCCAACAAAGAGCACUUCAGGGAACAUCUUGACAAACUGUUUGCAAAAGGAAUUGGAAUGCUGGAUAUUGCUUUAGUUGAAGCCUUCAACAUGCUCAGUGAUUUCAACCACACAGGUCAAGGGAGUAUUUGCAGUCAAGCUAUAAUGCUGGUUACAGAUGGUGCUGUGGACACCUAUGAUGCAGUAUUUGAAAAGUAUAAUUGGCCAGAUAGGAAGGUUCGCAUUUUUACCUACCUGAUAGGACGAGAAGCUGCCUUUGCUGAUAACCUUAAAUGGAUGGCUUGUGCCAACAAAGGUUUUUUCACUCAGAUUUCAACUCUAGCUGAUGUCCAGGAAAACGUUAUGGAAUAUCUCCAUGUGCUUAGCCGUCCCAAAGUGAUUGAUCAAGAGCAUGAUGUGGUAUGGACUGAAGCCUAUGUUGACAGCACUCUUCCUCAGGCUCAAAAGCUUGCUGAUGAUCAGGGACUGGUUUUGAUGACCACUGUUGCCAUGCCAGUAUUUAGUAAGCAAAAUGAGACUAGAACAAGUGGCAUUCUCCUGGGAGUUGUAGGCACAGAUGUUCCAGUGAAGGAACUUUUGAAGGCUAUUCCAAAAUACAAGUUAGGUAUACAUGGAUAUGCAUUCGCAAUCACGAACAAUGGAUAUAUUUUGACCCAUCCAGAACUCAGACCCCUGUAUGAAGAAGGAAAAAAGCGAAGGAAACCCAACUACAGCAGUGUUGAUCUUUCUGAGGUUGAAUGGGAAGAUCGGGAUGAUGUGCUUCGAAAUGCCAUGGUGAAUCGGAAAACAGGAAAAUUCUCCAUGGAAGUGAAGAAAACAGUGGACAAAGGGAAACGAGUGUUGGUGAUGACAAAUGACUACUAUUAUACAGACAUCAAGGGGACUCCUUUCAGUUUAGGUGUGGCUCUCUCUCGAGGGCAUGGCAAAUAUUUCUUCAGAGGAAAUGUGACUAUUGAAGAAGGCUUGCAUGACUUGGAACAGCCUGAUGUAUCCUUGGCAGAUGAAUGGUCAUAUUGCAACACAGACUUGCAUCCUGAGCACCGCCAAAUGACUCAACUGAAGGCUAUUAAAAACUACCUCACCGGGAAAGAGCCAUUGCUUCCAUGUGAUAAAGAACUGAUACAAGAAGUAUUGUUUGAUGCAGUAGUGAGUGCACCAAUAGAAGCUUAUUGGACCAGCCUUGCGUUAAACAAAUCAGAAAAUUCUGACAAGGGAGUAGAAGUUGCUUUCCUUGGAACCCGGACAGGUCUUUCUCGAGUCAAUUUGUUUGUAGGACCAGAACAACUAACUAAUCAAGACUUCUUGACGGCUGGAGACAAGGAGAAUAUUUUCAAUGCUGAUCAUUUUCCGCUUUGGUACAGAAGAGCUGCUGAACAGAUCCCAGGAAGCUUUGUCUACUCCAUUCCAUUCAGUACAGAAACAGCAAACAAAAGCAAUGUGGUGACAGCAAGUACUUCUAUUCAGCUUCUAGAUGACAGAAAAUCUCCAGUGGUAGCAGCUGUAGGUAUCCAGAUGAAACUUGAGUUUUUCCAGAGGAAAUUCUGGACUGCUAGUAGACAGUGUACAUCUCUUGAUGGCCGAUGUUCCAUAAGCUGUGAUGAUGAUAAUAUCAACUGUUACCUCAUUGAUAAUAAUGGAUUUAUAUUAGUUUCAGAAGACUAUACGCAGACUGGACGCUUCUUUGGUGAGGUUGAGGGAGCUGUGAUGAACAAAUUGCUAAUAAUGGGCUCCUUUAAAAGAAUUACACUGUAUGAUUACCAAGCUAUGUGUAGAACAACUAAAGAAAGUAGUGAUAGCGCCCAUAACUUACUGAAUCCUUAUAAAGCCUUCUUUGCUGCAGUAAAAUGGAUUGUGACAGAACUUGUCUUGUUUCUGGUGGAAUUUAAUCUAUGCAAUUGGUGGCACUCUGAUCUAAUAGCAAAGGCCCAGAGAUUGAAACAUACCCUAGAGCCUUGUGACACUGAAUAUCCUGCCUUUGUUUCUGAACGCACAAUCAAAGAGACUACAGGCAAUAUUGAUUGUGAUGACUGUUUCAAAUGAAGACAAUGGUAAACCAUCUUUGAAUAAAUCUUGUCAAGAAGACCCUAUGAUAGUACCACCAUAAGGGCCUUUGUCAUCCAGCAAAUUCAAAACAGCAAUCUCUUCAUGGUAGUAGUAAGUAAUGAGUGUGAGUGUGAAUCAGUUUCCCCGAUUACCAUGGAGCCAAUAGAAAUAAGGUAUA